GUAGGGUGGCAAGCGUUGUCCGGAAUUAUUGGGCGUAAAGCGCGCGCAGGGCGGUCCUUUAAGUCUGAUGUGAAAGCCCACGGCUCAACCGUGGAGGGUCAUUGGAAACUGGGGGACUUGAGUACAGAAGAGGAAAGCGGAAUUCCAAGUGUAGCGGUGAAAUGCGUAGAGAUUUGGAGGAACACCAGUGGCGAAGGCGGCUUUCUGGUCUGUAACUGACGCUGAGGCGCGAAAGCGUGGGGAGCAAACAGGAUUAGAUACCCUGGUAGUCCACGCCGUAAACGAUGAAGUGCUAAGUGUUAGGGGGUUUCCGCCCCUUAGUGCUGCAGCUAACGCAUUAAGCACUCCGCCUGGGGAGUACGGCCGCAAGGCUG
rnacentral:rRNA from 1 species